GAGUUGUGGAAGGUUUUCGAGAGCUAAAGAAUCAAAUUCUGCGAAACUGCAGAUUUUCAGCUCUCGGGGACCGGUCCCUGGUGGGAGAGACCGGUCCCCGAACGCGUGCAGAGUGAGACAGCCGAAAAAUCGGCUAAGUCCUGGAAGGAAAGCUCUCGGGAACCGGUCUCUGCCUGAGAGACCGGUCCCCCAGAGACCGGUCCCAUAAGGAGAGACCGGUUGCACUGCGCGCAGCAGCUUUGGCUGCGCAGGGUGGACGUUCGGGAACCGGUCCCUGCUCGGGGAGACCGGUCUCUGCCUGCGCGAUCAGCCCAGUUCGGGCAGCGUAUUAAAGUAAAAGUUGAGGGGUUUAACUGCAAUUUUGCAACCCAAUAGACUAUGUAUUAGGGUAAAUGAGGGAUUUCUCUCAUUUCUACCCUCUCACACUCUCUCCUCUCUUUCUCUCUCUAGAAGACAAAGAAGAAGAAGAAGAAGGAAAGAAAAGGAAAAGAAGAGGAAGAAAGUGAAGAAGAAGAAGAAGAAGUGAAGAAACUCCUUCCCCUUCAUCUCUAGCUUGGAAAAGAAGGGCUUACAAGGUAAGCUUUGAACCCUAAUCAUGGUAGAACCUAAUCUAGGGUUUGGAUUAAGCUUAAAAUGGGUUUUAUGGAACCAUUUGAGUAUUUGGAGCUUUUCUUUUGCUUCUCUUGAGAUCAAGACCAUAGAAAU
rnacentral:lncRNA from 1 species